rnacentral:sRNA from 1 species
GCUGUCGCAAAAUCGACAGCCGGAAUGGCGUUCCGCGAAACUCAAUGGCGACACCAGACGCGCCGUGCGUCUUUUUU